CCCCGCUGUCACUCCUUCUGCUUGUAAAAGCUAGCUUACAUGCUAGUUGCUAGACGAGAGGCAGUGCAACUGUCAGUGUUUUGAAGGAUGUCAAUGAAAAGAAAAGUGGAUAUAAGAGACUUCUUUAGGAGUCAAACUGUGACAGACAGCAGAGAGGCUGGAGGAGAUUGAGGAGGAGAGGCCAGAGAAGUUAGAGGAAGAGAGGCAGGAGGAAGUAAAGAAGGAGAGGCUGGAGAUUAUUACAGUUCAUUUAUGUUUAUUUACAAUGUUGUAUCGCAUGAAUGUUUUUCUGAUGAUGUUGAUGGACAGUAGUCUAUGUUAAUUGACAGUACGAUGCACAGUUGCACCACAGCCCUACA